rnacentral:misc_RNA from 1 species
GAAAGUAAAAGUCGUAACAAGGUUUCCGUAGGUGAACCUGCGGAAGGAUCAUUAAAGUUAUAGUCCCCCGGCCCCUCCGGGCUGGGGUCUUCUAUACCACCCUUUGUUUAUUACACCUUUGUUGCUUUGGCAGGCCUGCCCUCGGGCUGCUGGCUCCGGCCGGCUCGUGCCUGCCAGAGGACCUAAACUCUGUUUGUAUAUGAAGUCUGAGUACUAUAUAAUAGUUAAAACUUUCAACAACGGAUCUCUUGGUUCUG